GGCCUGUCUGCUCUCGCCUGAGCUGUUUCCUCGCGCAGGCGCAGUAGGUAGGCGUGGUCACGCAUUUCCGGGUAGUCCGGGUCUGGAGCGUCCCGGUCUGGCUCCUCUAGUUGUGGGAAUCUAGACUGCGUCCAGGAAGGAGGCGGGCGAUAUGGUUUUAGUUGCCACUCCUUAGGCCUGCCAGGGAGCACAAUUUCUGAGUUUCAUAGAUAUUUUCAAAGCGAUAUGAACCGUUCGCCAGCUGCACCUUAAGUGGCGCCAGUGAUCCUUAGUGGGCGCUUGAAACUUUUGCUAGACGCUUUGGCAGUUCGUAAAGAAACCGUGUGCGCGGUAGCCAAGCCACAGCCUUGGAGAGCCCGAUUACUGUAUGAGAGAGCGGCUUUUCCCGAGAAAUUAGGUUAGGGUUAAAGGGAUGAGCCGCAACCUUUUUUGUCCUGUGUCUAUGUCUGUCCUAGGCUCAGCCUACUUCCACCAGGCCUCACUGUAAGGCGGUCAGGAGCGGCUGGAGGCUGCAUCUGGCAGUCUAGCUUGUGCUCCGUCCAUCCCGCGCACUUUGCACCCACAGGCAAGGUGGUGAGGAGUAAGUUCAUUGCACCAAAAAGGCCCAUCUACACUGAAGAACUUUCAGGGGAAUUUUGACUCACAAAUUCAAUGACUUUACAUUAGGAUGAGAAAUAUUUCAGAGAGUGCACAAUUAAUGUUCGUGUCAAUUGUGAAACAAUUUUGGCAAAAAUUUUAUCCGCCUUGAAGCAGCUAGCAAAAUUAUUUGUAAAAUGAAGUCUCAAAAACUUUGUUCCAGACAUACUUUGCUAUUUAAUUAUAUGAGAAGUGCCUGAGUGUGUUGCUUUUCUAUUGUUCUGUAACAAAUUACUACAAAUUAAUGGUUUAAAAUAUCACCCAUUUGUUAUUGUAGUCGUGUAGGUCCGGAGUUGGUGUGGUAUAGCAGAGUGCUCUGCUUAAGGGUCUCACACUGUUGAAGUAAAGGCGUCUGCAAGUGGAAUCUCAUUGAAGAUCUGGGUUUCUCUUCCAAGCCCCUGGCUGUUAGCAGAAUUAAUGUCCUUGUGUUUCUUAGUCUGAGGUUCUCCUUGUUUUGCUAGUUGUUGUCCAGAGGCUUUUGCCAAAUAGCUCUUCUAUAAGCUUUCUCAUACUUACAGUCUCUGACUUCAUGGAGAUCCCUUUUAAGGAUUCAUCUGUGUGUUUAAAUCACCAACUUUUCACUCUUUCCACCAGGAACUUAGAGUCAGAAUUCUGGCAUAAGACUGGUAGAGCAUGAUGCCCACCUUACUACGAAUAAAAAUUGUCUGUCUUUCUAAGGAAUUUUAUAUUAAUACUCAGCACUUCAGGAAAAUUUCAUGGAAGAGCCCAAGACAUUUUCAAAUUGGAGAACCGAUUGGAUGAAUGAGUUUGAAUUCCAGAAAAAGAAAUGGGAAUAACCAGUUAGCAUUCUUCAUGCCACUAAAGAAUCUUCCUUCCAAAUUAUGUGGAAGGAAAAGAUAUUUCUGGAAUUGGAUUUACUAUACUGAGGCUUUCUCAAAUAUGGUUGUUUCUUACCACUGGUACAUCUUAUACUAAACUUAGCUACAAAAAAGCACAUGUCACUGUGAUCCCAAUUAUAUGCUAUCCAUGAAUGGUGUUGUGUAAGGGCUCACAUUUUGAGGAACAUUUCUAAAGAUUUCCUGAGGCCUCUGAAGAGAUCUGAAGAUCUACAACCACCAAAAAUGGGCUGAUAUAUUUUGGAGAUUACAGCACGGUAGUGAACAGCUUUGGGUAUUGAAAGAUGGAGUUCGACUACCAGCUCUGUCACUUACCAGCUUAGUGGCCGCAGGGGCUGAUUCAACUAUAUUUCCAAAAGAGACCAAUGAUUGAUUCAGCUUCUGGCCCCAUUGUAUACUUGAACAGCAGAUGAGAAAAUUUCUAUUCUCUUCCGGAUUCUAGCCAGAAAUAGGAUCUCUGUCUGACCUCCAGGCUGGGGCCUUCCUGGUCACCUUGGUUAAAAUCUAACUAAGAAAGGCCAUAUGAAAACACAACGGAAAGACAGCUGUCUACAAGCCAACAAGAGAGGUCUCAUUAGAAACCAACCCUGAUGUCACUCUGAUCUUGCACUGCUGGCCUCGGGAACUAAGAGAAACCCAAACACAGCAGCCCAAGGAUAUGUCAGAGGCAUAUACUUAUGUUUUCCCAUCUAUCAAAUCAGGCCGUCCAGGUGGUUUGCUGCUCUGUGGUGCUGAGGAUUCAGAGAUGAAUCAGGCUUGACCUCAAAGACACAGAACGCGUAAACAAGGGACCCCCUUUUCAACUUAUAAUUUGAUCUGGAUUCAACUCCGAGUAGCAAAUUGAAAUUAUAAGGCUGCAUUAGAAGUCACAGAACUGAUCACUAGGCAUCCAUUUUCAAGACUGUAUGAUGAAGCCAUCUUGUGGGACACCUGGGCAACUUGACUUCCUGUGUGAUGGGUAGGUAACUCUGCUUAACAUGUAAACAGUGUUUUACAUACUCUGUGCUUAGGAAUCAGUGUUGGUUUGAUUUUUUUUUCCCUCUAGCAUUCCAUAUAAGCAAUGGUUUAGUUAAAUGAGAGGAAUCAUUGAAAAUAUAUUAGCAUCAAGUCUAAAUAUAAAGAGAUUAAAUGACAUUCCCAAGGUCAACACACUGUUCAUUGACAAAUAUGCACCGGGUCUCUGCUCUAAAACCCCAAGUUACUCUACCAAGUUAGUUCAUUCGUUCUUUCUACUCAUCGUAUUUUCCAGGAAGUAGUGAAGAGCAAUAAAACUCUUGAAAAUGACAAAUGUAUUUUACUGUCAGACCUAGAAAAACAAGGGCUAUACUGUUAAAAACAUUACAACUUAUAGCAGACUUUAAAAUUGACUUCUAGCUAUGUUUAGAACCCUAAGGAGAUAAUGGCAAGUCAUUCUUCUUUGGAAAUAUGUCAUCAUUAAGGGAUAGAAAACAGUUCUCCAUUCUAAAGAAUAGCUCUCUGUAGGAUUUGUUGAGCUUUCUAUAGCUAAAGUUACUAAACAAAAUAAAUGACAUCUCAGAACAUUCUGUUGUCUUUGGUUUCAAAUAACAUAUUUUGUUAUGUUUGUUUUUCUUCCACUCUUGGCUACCAUAAAUGGCAGGACGAAAACCUUUCUUUAAAAAAAAUAGUGCUUGUAAAACAAAUGCUUGUGGAUGUUGGGGUAUGUGUAAAUUCAGUAUACAAGAUAUCCUUCUUGGCUUUAGGUACUUUCCCAAUGCUUGUCUUUAUAAAACAUGAAUGAUUUUAAAAUUUGAAGUUUCUGAGAGGGUUAAUGUCAUGAACCAGAAAGAAUGAAAUCACAAAGGCUGAAACACAUUCCUGUUAAUGGGGCUCUUUCUGAGAAACUUGCUUGCCAUAUCAGCUUUCUUUUUUCAACCUUUCUAUCCUGGCAAUACUAAUACUAAGUGUUCUUUUCUUGAUUGCUUUAAAUGGAGAAAACAAAACAAAGAAAGCUUGAUGAACUUGUUCUUUAAGAAAGCUUUUUACAGAAGUCAAAGUUUGAAAAACAGUAUGAACUAGAGAGAAGACAAAGUUGACUUUAAUGUGUUAUGUAUUAAUUUGUAAAAAUAUAGUAGUGUAUUUAGUGGCAUAAUGUUAGAAGAGUACAUCUGUGGAUGGUGGAUUAUUGAUGUAUUUAUUUUAUAUUCCUUUUAUCCAUUUUCUUCAACCAGCAUUCAUUACCUUUGUUAUACAAAACAAAGUUUGUAAAAGAUUAAACGUAUAAAUAUUUAAAAAGUAUCCAUAAUUAUAUUAGCAAACAGUGGAUGUAAGUCUUGAGAGAUACAAAGGGAGGUCCUGAGAGGUAGCUGGAGUAGAAAAUUGCCACCAAACCGACUUUGGCACAAUCCCAGCAGUUUGCAGGGUAGCUGUCUCCCCUUCGGUUCACUUCCCUGCCCCAGCUCCUCACUAAAUCUAUCAGGGCAGUGAUGCUGGUCAGCAGCCUUGAGCUUUAGCAGGGUGGAUCCUUCCCAUUAUUUCUCAGUUCUCACCACCCUUCUCCCUUCCAGUUUGGCCAGGCUCGCUCAUUUCCUCAACCUCACCUCACAGUUACUGCCGAAUCGUACAAACUGACUUCUCUGCUGCCAGGCUCUUAUUCCAUCAACUAGAUUGUUUCUAGUUGCUUCAUCAACUAGAUUAAUGUUUUCCAGAUAUUUCAUUCCCGUGCCACAUGUCUGUUAAAGAAACCCACAAAGGCUCUAUUGCUUGUUUUCUCUUGUUUUCAUGCUGUGUAGUUGUGCUAUAAUUGGCUAUCAAACUAUUUCUCUGAGCCCACAUUCUACUGUUCACUGCGUCUCAAUUCUAGUCAAGCAAUUCUCCUCUCUCUCCCUCCCACAUAAAUCGGCACAAUUCCAUAUUUCAGCCCUUAUUUGUUUGUUUGGCUGUGUAGGAGUAACUUCUUCUUUUCAAUCUACUCAAGUACUAAUGACCCUUUGAUCUGGCCCAAUUCCUAUUUUCUCCACAAAGCCUGAUGGACAAGUCAAACCCAGAGAGUUCUUGCUUACUGAUUCUCACCUGUUCAUGUAAUAUGAAGAUUAAAAAAAAAAAUUCUAUUCAAAGCAAGAAUUGCCUACAAACACUUUCAUAUACGAGACAAGUUAUCAUAUUUAUAUAAAGGGAGAUAAUUCUUUUUAAAGAGAGAUUUCUUGACAGGCUCUUUGUUAACAGACUUCUCUACAGCAUGAGUUUUAAAAGGGGUGCCAAAUUGUUCUUCAGAAUUAAAAGGUAGAAAUGUGGAUUAUCUGAGAUUGUGGGUAAGGGAGAGCAGAAAGUUUGGAAAUGCUGGAGAAGAAGAGAUGACAGAGGAGUUUGAGAAAAUGUAGCUAAGUCUAUAGCUCCAGGGAAGCAUGGACAGUAAGAAGUCACCCAUGCCUGGGACUGGCUAUAAAUAUAAACAUUUAAUUUUAAUGUCUGUCCUGUGCUGUAAACCCCACCUUCCAUUCUCUCAAAUAUUGGGUAAAAUUCUGUCUUUGGCAUUCUGUCAAUGACAUUCUGGAAGAGUGAAAGAAUCAGAGCUGUGGCUGGUGGUAGGCAAAGUUGUGCAGUCCAAGGGCAGCAGCUACAGGGGUGAGAUGCCACGUAUAAAUCAUUAAAGACUAGAAUCUGAAAACUGAAGCAAGAGGAAACUAGGAGAAAUACCUCACCAAGAAUUCUCAGCUAUUAGAGUGGUCACUGGGUUUUCAUAAUGUAUGAGAAAAAGCCAAGUUAUUGUAUUUAAAUAUUAAGGGAAGGGAUGCCACAGGGUUGGGGAUACCCAGAUAUGACUAUCUGUGGGGUCACAUAAUUUUAAGCCAACUUUAAUUCAUCUCUUAAGUCUGUGAGAGUUUCAUAUCUGUAAGCAUUAACUCCUCCAUCAGAUUAUAAGCUAAUUGAGGGAGCAAAUUAAUUUCAUAUUUUAAAUCUCUACAAUUGCUGCCUUAAGGCAGGUGCUCAGUAAAUACUUGUUGGGUGGCAGUAAAUUAAGUUGAAUAAAGAGAAUUGUCUUUCAUAAUUACAAGAAAGCUUAUCAGAUAUUAUUGCUGGUGUAAGAACACAUGUAGAGUCAACCAUUUGUAAAGCAUAUAUAUUAUUUUUUAAAGACUUUCAGAAAUUUAUGUUGACAUUUAUAUGGAAAGACAUAGGAAACUGUUAUCAGAAUUCAUAUAAAAUACACUCAUCAGAAAAUGUUUCUCCCCUGUAAUGAACAGAGAAUAAUCAUAAGAAUUUGCAUUUCUAGCUGUUAGCAUUGUGGUUCAGAGUUUGAAUAAAUCAUGAACUAAGGCUCUUCUAAUGUUGUCUUUCUCUGAAUGUUAUACAACCAGUUAAGUUAUGUAAGGAAGGGGGAAAGGCUGUUUUAUUUAACUUAUAGUCUAUCUUUGCUUUGAACAUAAUAAGUUAAGUCAUUCUAUAUGUAAAUAACAGAUGGUCAUUUAAGAUAUUUGAAGGCUUAUAAUUCUUACCAUUAAGAAGUUAGCCUGUCAUUUUAAAACUAUGGUUUAAGGUAGUAAUAUAAUAUGUAUGAUUUUAUUUAGUUAUUGAAACUUAUACAGUAUAACUUCUAUCUAGCCAAAAGACAGUCUCAAUGCAUAUCUAUCUGCUGGUGAGAUCACUUUCAAACUUUGAGAAAGGGAAAUCAGAACUGAAUGGUCAGAAAGACUUUGUUCUUGGAGUAUGAUGGGAGAAAUGUCCUGUAUUUUAGUUUACUUCCUGUUUUCUGCCAUGGCCUCUAAACAUGGUUUAAUUGGAAAAAUGGGGACUUUUUGUAAAAAACUAAUUUGGCGAAUGAACCAGAAGUCAGGUGUGGUGGAGGUAAUGGACCUUAGAGAGUUGUGCCUAUGGAUGUUGAAGGGAGGAGAGGAGGAGCGGGUAGGCAGAAGGUAGGAGCUUGAGUCAAAAAGUGGUAUUUCUCAGGAAUUCCAUUUGAAUGUGAUGUCCAUGAUAUUUUGGGCACAUUUCCUGGAACCACUAAGCUAUAUAAAAUGCUAAAAAAAUCAUCCAUUGAUAUAUUUGUUAUCUGAAAAUAAUCAUGCGGUGUUAAGAAGCACAAAUUGUCAAAAUACGAAAAUGUUACUUAGUAACUAACCACCGAUAAAUUAAUGCCCAAUCAAAUAACCCUCCUUUCGUAACACCUGUAUUGGUGUUAACCCACAUCUUUGUCAAUCAGUGCCUUGAAGAUUAUCAGACAUUUAUGUAAUUCAACAAUACAGUUCAGUUUGAUUGAAAAGUGAAAGCACAAAAGAGCCAAACUUUCCAAAGUGAUGCGGGAGAGCUGCUUGA